rnacentral:rRNA from 1 species
GUCUACGGCCACACCUAGGCGAAAACACCAGUUCCCGUCCGAUCACUGCAGUUAAGCGUCUGAGGGCCUCGUUAGUACUAUGGUUGGAGACAACAUGGGAAUCCGGGGUGCUGUAGGCUUCU